UACAGAGGCCCCAAGCGUUACUGAGAAUCACUGGGUUUAAAGGGUGCGUAGGUGGUCCGUUAAGUCUGUUGUGAAAGCCCUUGGCUCAACCAAGGAAUUGCUUCGGAUACUGGCGGACUUGAGGCUAGUAGAGGUCGCUGGAACUGACGGUGGAGCGGUGAAAUGCGUAGAUAUCGUCAGGAACGCCGGUGGUGAAGACGGGUGACUGGGCUAGUUCUGACACUGAGGCACGAAAGCGUGGGGAGCGAACGGG
rnacentral:rRNA from 1 species